rnacentral:rRNA from 1 species
UACGUAGGGUGCAAGCGUUAAUCGGAAUUACUGGGCGUAAAGCGUGCGCAGGCGGCUAUGCAAGACAGAUGUGAAAUCCCUCGGCUUAACCGGGGAACUGCGUCUGAUACUGGAUGGCUUGAGUUCGGGAGAGGGAUGCGGAAUUCCAGGUGUAGCGGUGAAAUGCGUAGAUAUCGGGAGGAACACCAGUGGCGAAGGCGGCGACCUGGGCCAAUACUGACGCUGAGGUGCGAAAGCGUGGGGAGCAAACAGG